AAGCGUGCGAGAGAGCGAGGUGCACCAGCGGGCAUGGAUGGCCUGUGCAGAGUCCAGUCUUGUGAGGGCGGCGAACUAGGCAGCGAAUCGCGGGAGUUUCCUAUUGGCAGCAGUCCGAGUCCCAGACGUUAAUUUGUAACAAAAGUAGCGAUGGCCAAGCCCAUAAAGGGGGCAUCUCGGAAAGCCGUUCGCAUGCACGGAAGAGAUGAAAGCCCCGUGCGCGCUAGAAAACGGUUUCGCAACUCACUUCGGGAAGCAAAUGCGCUGCCCCCCAAAACAUAAAGUUGGCGAACUGUGCCUGACCCCGCUGGGGUUUUGGAAUGCCUCGUCCUCACAGGAAAAAAAUCCAGGGAAAUCAUCUUUUCCUUAAAAAGCAAAAGUGUCCAAAUUAUUUCUGUGACUGAAGUAGUUUGUCUGCGGUUGGCCAGUGACAUGGCAAGGCCUUGUUUGUGCAUUUAAGGUAAAUCAGAUUCUCUUCUAGGAGUCUGGAAGAGAACUUCCCCAAAGGGCACCCUCUUUCCCUUCUGACACAGAGGAAAUACCACAUAUAAAGAGCUACAAAUGUUUGAAGGAGAAAAAAAAUAAAGAAAAAUUCCAGCAUGUUAAAAUUUGAUAUUUUAUGUAGGCCCUUUUCAGCAAUGGUAGUUAAUUCCAAAAAGAACCACACGAGAGGUUUCACAUGUGGGGUCAUCCAUCCUUCCAGGGAUGCAGAAGGUUCCUACACAUACUAGGUGUCUGAUGAAUGUGAGCUCCCUUCCCCCUGCUUACCUCCUCCAUAGGAAUGCAUGCCUAUCCAGAAAAACACAAAACACACGCAUGUCAGGCCUCUGAGCCCAAGCCUGCACAUAUACAUCCAGAUGGCCUGAAGCAACUGAAGAAUCACAAAAGAAGUGAAAAUGCUGAAGCAACUGAAGAAUCACAAAAGAAGUGAAAAUGGCCGGUUCCUGCCUUAACUGAUAAGACAGUCACCUGUCCUCCUGCUCUUUGCUCUGUGAGAAAGAUCCACCUACAACCUCGGGUCCUCAGACCAACCAGCUCCAGGAACAUCUCACCAAUUUUAAAUUGGGACCCCACUGGAAAUUGGACUGUCCAACUCACCUGGCAGCCAUUCCUAGAGUUCCUGGAACUCUGGCGCAAGGCUCACUGACUGACUCCUUCCCAGAUCUUCUCGGCUUAGUGGCUGAAGACUGACACUGCCCGAUCGCCUUGGAAGCCUCCUGGACCAUGAUAGAUGCUUUAGAUUCCCAGCCUUAUGAAGACACCCUAUCUGGACGAUCAGUUCUUGUUAAGAAUCUGACCCCUCAAACUCUACAACCUCGACGGACCGGACCCUACUUAGUCAUCUAUAAUACCCUAACUGCCGUCCUCCUGCAGGACCCUCCCCAUUGGGUUCACCGUUCCAGAAUAAAGCCGUGUCCAUUGGACAGCCAGCCUGAUCUCUCCUCUUCCUUCUGGAAGUCGCGAGUACUCACCCCUACUUCCCUUAAACUCACCCACAUUUCUGAAGAACAGUAGUAACCCUUAUGAGCCUAAUACAUCCCUUCAUUUUGUUAGGUCUAUCCUUCCUUACCAGAGUCUUUGCAACAGGGCCUUAUGCAGUCACCCCCACUACUUAGACUGCAUCCCAAAAACUUUUCAUCCCUGCUCUCUUCUGUCUAGUCAUACUCCUAUUCUUCGUUUUCACCUCUCCAUACAUGCCCUGCCCUUGUCUACACUGCCAGCUUAUACUUUUCCUCCAAACCAUCAUAGCUGGUCCUGGUCUUAUCCCCUAACUGCCACUCUUAACUCCCUCUUGGAAUGGAUAAAUGGCCUUUGCUGGAAAAGCACACUCCACUUCUUUCACCCAUUUUACAUUUCCAGUUUCGCCUUACGCAAGGUCUCUUCUUCCUCUGUGGCUCCUCCACCUGCAUGUGUCCACCUGUUAAUGAGACAGGAACAUGUACACUAGUUUUCCUUACCCCAAAAAUCAAUUUGCAAAUAAGACCGAGCAGCUUCCUGUUCCCCUCAUGACACCAACACUUCACUAUUAUUUUAUUUUUUCUUAUUAUUAAUAUAAGAAGACAGGAAUAGGCCUUGACUUACUCACUGCUGAAAAAGGAAGACUCUGUAUAUUUUUAAAUGAAGACUGUUGUUUUUACCUAAAUCAGUCUGGCCUGGUAUAUGACAACAUAAAAAAAUUCAAGGAUAGAGGCCAAAAACUCACCAGCCAAGCAAAUAAUCAUGCUGAACCCCCUUAGGCACUCUCUAAUUUGAAGUCCUGGGUCCUCCCAAUUCUUAGUCCUUUAAUACUUGUUUUUCUCCUUUUCUUAUUCGGACCUUAUGUCUUCUGUUUAGUUUCUCAGUUCAUACAAAACCAUAUCCAGGCCAUCACCAAUCAUCCUAUAUGACAAAUGCUCCUUCUAACAACCCCAGAAUAUCACCCCUUACCACAAAAUCUUCCUUCCUCUUAAUCUCUCCCACUCUAGGUUCCCAUGCCACCCCUAAUCCUGCUCGAAGCAGCCCUGAGAAACAUCACCCAUUAUCUCUCCAUACCACCCCCCAAAAUUUUCCCCACCCCAACACUUCACCACUGUUUGUUUUUCUUAUUAAUAUAAGAAGACAAGAAUGUCAGGACUCUGAGCCCAAGCCUGCACAUAUACAUCCAGAUGGCACGAAGCUACUGAAGAAUCACAAAAGAAGUGAAAAUGGUCGGUUCCUGCCUUAACUGAUGACAUUACCUUGUGAAAUUCCUUCUGGCUCAGAAGCUCCCCCACUGAGCACCUUGUGACCCCCGCCCCUGCCCUCAAGAGAACAACCCCCUUUGACUGUAAUUUUCCACUACCUACCCAAAUCCUAUAAAACUGCCCCAGCCCUAACUUCCUUUGCUGACUCUCUUUUUGGACUUAGCCCACCUGCAAUUAAAAAGCUUUAUUGCUCACACAAAGCCUGUUGGUGGUCCCUUCACACGGACACACGUGACAAUGCACACAC
rnacentral:lncRNA from 1 species